rnacentral:tmRNA from 1 species
UUAAAAUAGGGCCAAAAAAAUAACUAACGACAAUCAAGUCGCUUGGGCUAACGCUUAGUCCACUGCCUCUUUUCUGUUUCCUGUGCGGGAAAGAACGGCGGUCAAACCACAGGAUGCCACAAGCGGGGCGCGGUUCGUCCCCCUUGUUUAAGACUAACGGACCAAACGAGCAGCGUGCUUCCUUGCGCUUAGCUGCCCGUACUUAGCAAGGAUAAACUUGUAGUGCCCGAUAGGAAAAGAUGUUCGGACGGGGGUGCGAAUCCCCCCACCUCCAC